GCACCCAUAGCGCAAUUGGAUAGAGUGUCUGGCUUCGAACCAGAAGGCUGCGGGUUCGAUUCCUGCUGGGUGCGCCA
rnacentral:tRNA from 1 species